AUAUUUUAUAAAAUGUGUUACAUUUAUCGCCACUGUAAUAUAGAAACGUUUGUUGCUUUUUUUUUAAAGAUGUAACAAAGAGUACAGAAAAACUCUUUGGAAGUAAUUAGUGAAGGUUUUUUCUUCCGGUACAUGCUCCUCCGACUCAUUUCCGCGAAUCGGUUCUUUCACACAUUUUAUUUCUAAAGAUCCGGUUCAAAUAAAAGACUCAGUGAUUCCUCCUUUUUUUUAAGUUCAUCAUGUUUCAUUGAGUCAGCUCAUUAAAUACAUUAUAUUUAGCAUUUCCAACAUUAGUAAAAAAAUUAAACUAGGAUUUAGUCCGAUUCGUGGACGAAUCAUUGACACCGUUUUAUUGAAACGGUUCAACUGAAUCCGUUUUUGAAUCAAGACGAAUGAUUCAUUCCCGAAACUCUGUUUAAGUGAAUGUUUGGAUUGGUGAAAUCCUUGUGUAUUUUGUUACAAUUUGUAAGAGUUUUUUCCGGAUUCAGUUGGAAGCUUGACUCCACCGUUGCUCACCAGGAGCUCAAUAGUGUGUGUGCGUGUGUUACUCUUGACUGAUUGCACAAUAGAGAGCUUAACUGGAAGAUACCAUCACUGAAUCAUCAAUAAACUGACUUUAGCUGGAAAAA